rnacentral:lncRNA from 1 species
UACCGCAAAGAUAAGGGACCAUGCCAUGGAGCAAAUGAAUUCUUCACCAUGAAUUGAAUUUAUGGAAGUGAUUUUUUCACCAUAAAUUAAAUUUAUGGAAGCAAUUCAUGAAGCUUAGCAAUCACCAAGGGGUGUCAAGGAUAGAGCUUCAAGGAAGACUCAAAAACAAGGAACUAAAUCCACCCCAGAAAAACAUAUAGCAGAAACAGAACCUCCAAUUUCAGACCGGAGGUGUUCGGCGGCGAUGGUGCGGUGGGUACUUUCUCCAAUUUCAGACCCUCUUCCCAUUCAAUUCCUCUCUCACAACAACCUUAUCAUCGUCUUCAAUUAUCUCCUCAUCAAUUUCUGGUCCUUCUUCUUCUCUCUUUCUCUCUAUCUCUAUCAAUUUCUUUCAAUUGUUUUUUCAUUUUUACUUAUUAUUAUUUUCCAGAAAUUUCUUCCUCUGCUUCUUUUUCUUCUAUGUUUCUUAAUUUCUGCUUCUUGUUGUUGCUAUGGUGACUUUGAUGGUGAUUUUUUGAGAGAUGAAAGUUGAG